AGCUGAUGGUGUCACUGCGACUCAACUGGUGGAGUCUCCAGAGGCUGGCUUUAGGAAAUAAGAGACAUCUCCUGUUUCUACAGCCAAUAGCGAAGUCAGCUGGUGGAGUCUCCAGAGGCUGGUUUUAGGACGUCAGAGACGUCUCCUGUUU